AGCUGGCCCCUUCAUUUUACUGUGGUGGUGGAUAUGCGCACCCCUUUCUCUUACAUCCACACACACCUGUGCACGUGAGACACAGUGGGGAAGACUUUAUUGCACCCCCUUGUGACUACUUAUUUUACACAUCCUCUUUUUUUUUUAAGCUGGAUGUAGUUGAUGUGCCGCAUCUACUACUAUUUUUCAACAACGGAUCUCUUGCCUCUCUCAUCGAUGAAAACCGCAAAAAAAUGCAAUAAAUGAGGAGAAUUGAAAAAUUCGGAGAAUCAUCNAAUCUUUGAACGCACCUUGCCCUCCUUGUUAUUCCUUGGAUGAUGCCUGUUUGAUUAUCAUAAAAUCUUCAAAGUAAAAUUUUUUGAAAACUAAAGUGUUUUAUUAUUUUGUUAUAGGAGGUUUUUGCAUCUCCACUCCUGCUCCUUUUUGAUUAUUAGCAGGAUCUCGGUGUUAUGCUUGCCACCCCUCGGCGUAAUAAAUUUUCUACCGCUGACAACACUGAAAAAGGGGGCCGAGGAAAAUGAAGAAGAACCGCUUCUAAUACCCCGUUGACUUGAACAAUAUUUUUUAUUACCUGCUCCCCAAGCAGGAAGAACCCCCCGCUGACUUCAGAAUUAUAAAAAGGGGGAAAAA
rnacentral:misc_RNA from 1 species